rnacentral:rRNA from 1 species
GCAAGUCGCACGAGAACUCUUCUGCUUGCAGAAGAUAGUAAAGUGGCGCACGGGUGAGUAACGCGUGGGUAAUCUACCUCCGAAUUGGGGAUAACAUUGCGAAAGCGAUGCUAAUACCGAAUAAUAUCCUUAUAACUUAGGUUAUUAGGAUCAAAGGUGGCCUCUACAUGUAAGCUACUGUUUGGAGAUGAGCCCGCGUACCAUUAGCUUGUUGGUAGGGUAAUGGCUUACCAAGGCAACGAUGGUUAGCUGGUCUGAGAGGAUGAUC